GCCCGAGUGGCGGAAUUGGUAGACGCACCGCACUCAAAAUGCGGCGACGAAAGUCGUGCGGGUUCGAGUCCCGCCUCGGGCA
rnacentral:tRNA from 1 species